GACGAACGCUGGCGGCGUGCCUAAUACAUGCAAGUAGAACGCUGAAGGAGGAGCUUGCUCUUCUGGAUGAGUUGCGAACGGGUGAGUAACGCGUAGGUAACCUGCCUGGUAGCGGGGGAUAACUAUUGGAAACGAUAGCUAAUACCGCAUAAGAGUAGAUGUUGCAUGACAUUUGCUUAAAAGGUGCAAUUGCAUCACUACCAGAUGGACCUGCGUUGUAUUAGCUAGUUGGUGAGGUAACGGCUCACCAAGGCAACGAUACAUAGCCGACCUGAGAGGGUGAUCGGCCACACUGGGACUGAGACACGGCCCAGACUCCUACGGGAGGCAGCAGUAGGGAAUCUUCGGCAAUGGACGGAAGUCUGACCGAGCAACGCCGCGUGAGUGAAGAAGGUUUUCGGAUCGUAAAGCUCUGUUGUAAGAGAAGAACGAGUGUGAGAGUGGAAAGUUCACACUGUGACGGUAUCUUACCAGAAAGGGACGGCUAACUACGUGCCAGCAGCCGCGGUAAUACGUAGGUCCCGAGCGUUGUCCGGAUUUAUUGGGCGUAAAGCGAGCGCAGGCGGUUAGAUAAGUCUGAAGUUAAAGGCUGUGGCUUAACCAUAGUACGCUUUGGAAACUGUUUAACUUGAGUGCAAGAGGGGAGAGUGGAAUUCCAUGUGUAGCGGUGAAAUGCGUAGAUAUAUGGAGGAACACCGGUGGCGAAAGCGGCUCUCUGGCUUGUAACUGACGCUGAGGCUCGAAAGCGUGGGGAGCAAACAAG
rnacentral:rRNA from 1 species